CAUUAGCUGGCGGUCCAGGAGCCGUGAAUGACGCACAGCCGGCGCCAGGUUCAAAGUGCCGUCUCUCCCCCCCUCCGCCGCUGCCACAGCCGCCAGAGUGUGACUGAGCCGCGGGUUGUAACGCCCGAUCCCACCCCCCCACCCCCCGCAGCCGCCGGAGUUAACUGUUAACUGACGCUGAGCAGCGGCCAGUAAUGCCCAUGCCCACUCCCCAUCUCCCUGCCAGCGCAGCAGCUUAAAUUCCACCCUACCCCUAAGCUUAGUGACCCGCGGCCUGUAAUGCCCUCCCCACCUCCACCGGAGCACUGUCUGCAAGUGAAUGAUGGUCCGAGGCCCUAUCCUAACCGUGGCACACCCCUGGGCGUCUGGCAGGAGAGUCAACUCGCCCUCCACAUGAAGACCUCCAGCAGCAGAAGGAAGAACCAGGCAGCCAGAAUGCAAGCAGGACAGUGUGCAUUGCAGACAGAGACACAGGAGUAUCAUGAGCUGCCAACACAGCUUCCCAACCAAAGGAGAUAUAUGAGGUAGUAGAGAACUGUAAUUGACGCAGGGAUCCCAGCUUCUCCCCCCUUUCACUCCAUACACAGCAGGCUAGGUUGAUGUGCCUGGGUCCUGUGUAACCUGUUAUCUGAUUGGAGCAUCCUCGAGUCCUGUCCCAGUGUAUAAGUAGUACAGAGGCUGCUGCUACAUUUGCAUGUGACAAGCUAGAUAUGCUGUAGAUUUUAUUUUUCUAUGUGUAUUUUAAGGUUAAGUUGACUUUGUUUCACUGCAAGAAAACUUUAUGAAUUA